rnacentral:rRNA from 1 species
AGCGAACGCUGGCGGCAGGCCUAACACAUGCAAGUCGAGCGCCCGUAGCAAUACGGGAGCGGCAGACGGGAGAGUAACACGUGGGAACGUACCCUUUGGUUCGGAACAACACAGGGAAACUUGUGCUAAUACCGGAUAAGCCCUUACGGGGAAAGAUUUAUCGCCAAAGGAUCGGCCCGCGUCUGAUUAGCUAGUUGGUGGGGUAACGCCCACCAAGGCGACGAUCAGUAGCUGGUCUGAGAGGAUGAUCAGCCUCAUUGGGACUGAGACACGGCCCAAACUCCUACGGAGGCAGCAGUGGGGAAUAUUGGACAAUGGGCGCAAGCCUGAUCCAGCCAUGCCGCGUGGGUGAUGAAGGCCCUAGGGUUGUAAA